AGAAUGUCAUGGCGUUAAUUCGCAAAUAUACAACUUUCAACAACGGAUCUCUUGGCUCUCGCAUCGAUGAAGAACGCAGCGAAAUGCGAUAAGUAAUGUGAAUUGCAGAAUUCAGUGAAUCAUCGAAUCUUUGAACGCACCUUGCACCCCUUGGUAUUCCGAGGGGUACGCCUGUUUGAGUGUCGUGAACUCCUCCACCUCUGGUUUUCCAAAGGCUGGGAUUUGGGUGUUGCGGGUCCCUGGCAGACCCGCUCGCCUUAAAUGAAUUAGCGAAGCCCUUGCGGCCUAGGCGGUGAUAAUUAUCUACGCCUUUGGCUUAGCGACUUUGAAGGGACUUGCUUACAACCGUUCGCCUGCGAACAAAUCAUACGACUUGACCUCAAAUCAGGUGGGACUACCCGCUGAACUUAAGCAUAUCAAUAAGCGGAGGAAAAGAAACUAACAAGGAUUCCCCUAGUAACUGCGAGUGAAGCGGGAUGAGCUCAAAUUUGAAAUCUGGCGUCCUUCGGGCGUCCGAGUUGUAAUUUAGAGAAGCGUCUUCCGCGC
rnacentral:rRNA from 1 species